rnacentral:rRNA from 1 species
UACAGAGGGUGCGAGCGUUGUCCGGAAUCACUGGGCGUAAAGGGCGCGUAGGCGGCUCAGUAAGGUUGCGGUGAAAACCCGGGGCUCAACCCCGGGCCUGCAUUCGAUACGGGCAGACGUAGAGUUCGGUAGGGGAGUCGUGGAAUUCCUGGUGUAGCGGUGAAAUGACGCAGAUAUCAGGAGGAACACCGGUGGCGAAGGCGGGACUCUGGGCCGAUACUGACGCUGAGGAGCGAAAGCGUGGGGAGCGAACAGG